AUAAGACAAAAAUAUUGGAGAGAGAGGCUUAUAAAUUCAUUGCCCCUCAAGAAGCAAAAAUAUUGCACUUCAAUAACAAAUAAUUCAUACGUAGUUAGUACUAUUGUCAUGGCUCGCAAUUAUGCUUUCUAUUUCAUUGUUGCACUUAUUGUGAUAUCUGUUUAUAUGGCUCAGUCUCCAACUGUGAAAGUAAUUGCUGCGAGAGAUUUGUCGGAGACUAUGACAAAACUGAAAUCAAAACUAAAUGGUAAAAAUACGAUGGGUCUUUGUGGUGGAUACUGUAGGUCGAGCUCUGACUGCUUUGAUAAGACAUGUCCCCGUUGUUAUUACGAUGUUAUUAAGCAUACCUACGGCUGCAGCUACUAAAGGAUCAUGACCGGCCAGAACAAUACUAAGUUUGUUUCUCUAAAUAUGACUAGAUGGUUUUGUGGUUUAUUUUCAUUGUUUUUCUGUUUUUGUUUAUGGGAAGAAAAUAAAACGAUUAAGUUCUACGUCUACCUAGAUCAAGACGUGUGGGAUGUAAUAUCAAAAUGGGUUGUGAUGGCCUAUUAACUGUUCCUGACGUAUUUGUACUUUUAAUUUUGAAUGAAACUCUACUAUCAUUUUGCUUGAUUAAAA